UGAUGCCAUUAGAGAAGUGAAGACAAGUCGCGGUCGAGUUGUUAUGUAUAAAAAAUAUACAUAUUCAUAUAAAAAUGGUAAAACUCAAUUAUGCUGUUCGAAAAGACAGCUUUGGAAGUGUCCGGCUAAAAUGAAGUUGGAUGCGAAGGAAAAUAUCUUGUCGGCCAUGACUGAACAUAAUCAUCCACCGCCUGAGUAUCAUGUCACGAAUAAAGGAGAGUAUAUUUUUGUGUUUCAGUAAUAAUAUACAUGUCGCAGUUAAGUUACAGCUGCUAUUUGAUUGAACAACUUGUGCCUUUUUGCGAGUUAUUUCAUGAAGGCGCAAGUCGUUCAAUCAAAUGCCUGCGACAUAUAGGUACAUUAUUUUUCAUUCCUUCUGUAAAGGGAAGUCGAAUGGCUGGCACUAAAGAGUCACCUACGUAAUUUCCUUUAUGUUAGGGGUACCUUCAAUUAUAAGGGCUUAAUGCUUUGAGUGUCACUUAACCAAUGAUGAAAUUAAAACUGUCGUUAGGUGUUCCCUUAUUUAGGUAUAUGACAUUUUUUCACCUUAAAUUAUAAGGGCUUAAUGCUUUGAGUGUCACAUAACCAAUGGUGAAAUUAUUUUGGGACCUAUCGGGGGUUAGUGGCUUAGGCUCCCAGUUGGGGCCACAUCGACCACUGGGAGCCUAAGCCACUAACCUGGUAGAAAUGGGCAUUCGUCUUUUUUAAGUGCAAUGAUGUUGAAAAUUUAUUGAUGAUUUUAUUUAUUAGUUGAUUUAUAACUUAUCUCUAAGUAAAUGUAUUGGUUACAACACAUCUGAAAAAAUAAUCUAGGUACAGAUGUAUUGUAGUCAACUAGUCAACAUUACUUACUAAAAGGUAUAUUUACAAAAAUGUAUAAACUUACGCAUUAAAUUAUUUAUUUUUAGUUAGGUAUAUUCCUUCUUUUUAUUAUACAAAUACCUCGCUAUAAGGUAUCAUAAUGUUUGAUUACUAAUAGUGUCUACCUAACCAUAAUUUUAAGGAGUUUAUUUUUUUUGUUGGAAAAUCGAUUGAAAUGUAUAAUUUUUAUUUUAUUUAUUUUGAAAAUAAAAACUACUAUUGAAUAAGUAAUCAUAUGCAAUUAAGUUAAUGUCAAUGUUUGCUGUGUUGUGAUUUUACGAUAUGUGAUGUGUGUAUUAUAUUUUAAUCUAAUUACUGGCUUUGGUUCAUGUAAGGAUUCCUAUUCCUGAGACCCUCUUGAGUUCUUCUAAAAUUCUAAAAAAAGGAUACAUGUUUAACAAAUACAAUGAAUUCCAUACAAUUUAACGAUGAAUUGUCACUCAAAAUCGUUCACAUUUCAUUCAAACUUAGUUAUAUUUUUGACGUUCAUAAGUGCUGUAAAAGCCUAAAUGAAAUAAUGAUUUGACUUUGACUUUGACACCAACAUAAUCUUUGGCUUGAGUAGGUACUUAUCUAUCAUAUUUAAACAAAUGUAGUAAGUAAUAGAUUUAUUUAUUUUUAGUUGACAUGAAUUUCGAGACAAUUACUCUGCCGAAUGGGAGAUCGCUGAUCAUGUAUCGGAAUUACACCUUUUCCUUUCGCGGUCGGAACAAAAUGUACCCGUAUUGCUCCAGGAGAGUUACUACGAACUGCCAAGCUAAAUUAAAAUUGGAUAAAUGGGGGAACAUCGUGGAAGCUAAUGCUAAUCAUAAUCACCCGCCCCCGAAAUAUGUUAGACUGGAAGAUGGAACAUUUGUGAAAGUAGAUUCUUAAUCUAAAAUAAAAUUAACUCGAAACAUUGAUUUACUUAUCAUUAAAUCUGCUUUGAGAAAAUCAUAAUGCCAUAUUUAGAAGUUUUUGUACGUUAAAAAUAUUUUUCUCUUGUAAAUAAAAACAUAUUUAUAGCCCAGAUUAUUUGCUCGUGAGUUAACUUUCUUUGCUGCCAGUAUAUGUUGAAAAUUUACAUUUUUAGAGCCUUCAGGGUACGAACAAACAAACAAUUGUUCCCUCUUUAUCAUAUUAGUAAGAUAAAUGAAAAUAGUGGUGUUGUAAUAUUCAAAUAUGUCAUACUGAAAUAAAGUCAGGAUCUAUAGUUAGAACAUGAUUUUAUUUAUGUCACAGAAAAUCUGCUCUGCUAUACUCUGUUCAAAAAUAUGCUAUCUGGCUUAGUUGUAAAAAUACUUGGUUACACACAGCUCAUAUUUAUUCACUGACAUUACUCCCUUUGUUUUGAUCCUAGAGUAGAAAACCAUACUUAUAAUGUUAUUACACGUACUGGGUAUAAAUAAUCUACUUGUGUUAUUUAUUUCAGGUAUUGGCUAUGAGACGAUUCAUCUGGUUAACGGGAGAUCCCUUAUCAUGUAUCAAAAUUACACCUUUUCCUUCCACGGUCGGAACAAAAUGUACCCGUAUUGUUCGAGAAAGACUAACUUGAAAUGUAAAGCUAAAUUGAAAUUGGAUAAAUCAGGGAACAUCGUGGACGUUUAUGCGGUCCAUAAUCAUCCUCCGCCGAAAUUCACGAGGCUCAGUAAUGGACUGUUUGUCAAAAUUAGCCAAUAAAUCAAAUAAAAAAGCUAGAUUAAAAAAAAAUACUGGUUUACAAAGUUGUGUUAAUAAAAAAAAAGAAAAACGUGUUUUUAAUUUUUUUAAUUAAAAUUAUUCUGUAAGAAGAGGGAUCCUCUACGGGUAAAGGCCUCCCUCAAACCAAGCCAACUUUCUCUGGAUUUCGCUAUAUUCGAAAAAAAUACAAUUGUGUUAAUCACUUUCAGCUGAUUUAUAGAUAAGAGAGGUUCAUCUUAAUUCAUAUUAUACACAGGUUAAUUGCUAAAGAUCUGAUGAUGAAUUUUUAAGAUCAUUUAAUAAGGUUUUGAAAAUAUAUAUUUUUUGUGUUUGAUAUUAUUUAAGAUUUUAACACCGAAGUUAAAUAAUUUAUUAUAUAAAUGAUAAUAUAUUUGUGAGCAAAAUAAAUGAUGGUUUUGCACUUUUAUCUUCCACUUUAAUUUGUGUUUUGCUUAGCGCAUGAUGGUCCUUGUUUUUUGCUCCAGUUAUUAUGCCACGAACAAGUCGAUCAGGGAAGCUUUCCGAAGAAGAAAAAAAGAAACGCAGACGCGAGCAGAAAAAACUUAGUAUACGCCGUGCGCGGGCCAAAAUGGAUGACGCAGCUCUCGAAGAAAGAAGAAGGAAGGAUAGGGAGAGAUACAAAGCUAAAAAACAGCAACUUAAGACUAUUAAAGACUACACGCCAAGAGAACAAAAGCAGAUAAGAAAAAUAUGGAGAGAAAAAGCAAAAAAGAAACGCGACAAGGAAAAAGCUAAAAAAAAGGGAACGUGAUUUUGUGCAAGAGAACACGCCUCCAUCAAGUCCUUCGUUUUCGCGUAUACAAGUUGGCAGAGCGAUGGCUACAAGGAAUAGACGAAGACUUGUUGCAGAAAAUAAUAAUUUACAGAGAAGAGUUCUUGAAUUAGAAUCUAAAAUGGCUAAAUAUAGAAUGAGGUGGUUAAGAGCAAGUAAUAAACUGGAAAAGAAAAAAGGAGGUGGUAAAAAAAUAAUAAAAACGAUUAAGACUCAAGAGAUAAGAAAAGCAAUCCAUGACUUCUUAGUGCAUGAUGAACACAGCAGAUUAACGUCUGGAAAAAAAGACAAUCACAAGAAGGAAGAUCAAGAAGCAAAUUCGCUUUUUAAAUGACUCACUUUGAAUUUGCAAAGAUGUUAUUAAUAUGUUUUCAUUCAAGUGCGUCUACAGAAGCUGAUUGUCUGUUCUGUGGACAAAUGUCAAUAAAAAAUUGAACUGAAUUGGUAUACGUUUUUAUUAUGUUUUGUUUAGGGAUCGAGGAGAACUCCAUUUCAGGUUUUUUUUUCAUUUUUUUCUAUUCUUGAACUUAUUAAUAUGAUUAUAAUAAAGUCACAUUUUGCCUUCUGCAGACAACACAAUCUCACCGUGGACAUAAAAAACAAAAAACGUGUUUUUUUCCUAAAAUAUCCAAGACUGUUCUCUAGUAAUAUUAUUGUAAGAAUAUUAAUAUGGAACUUUAAAUAAAUACAACAUUUUAUAAAAAAAUGUGAAGUUUUAUUAUAAAUAUUUAGUAAUGUUCACGUUUUGUGUUUGACCCUUUGUAUUCAGUUUGGACCCGCUGUGCUUUUUAUUUCGUCCUCCCAUCUGUAGUAUGGUCUCCUCUUUCUUUUGCCCACUGCCCCCCUCCAUUCUGUCACUCUUUUGGCCCACCCUAGAUCUUGCAGGCGAGCUAUGUUUCCGUCCAGUUCCAUUUUAAUGCAAAAGCUUGUGCUAAGCCAUCUGCUGUUCUUUAAACAAUUACUCAGAAAUUGUAAUAUAGUAUUUUGAUAAUUUAAAAUCAUGAUGGUAUGUUAAUGGUUGAUAUUUAUUACAUAACAUAAAAAGUAUUUAAGAUGUUAAAAGCAUUUUUACAUCCGUGGCCACAAUAAUCUGCUCCUGAGUAUAUCCACUUGGUUACCAAAAUAAAUUAACGGUUAUUUUUCAGAAAAUGGUUUAACUUACAUGCCGACAUCUGCAACGAGUGGGUUGAUGGUGUAUAAAGAAUAUACGUUUUCAUACAUCGAUAAGACUAAGAAGUAUUUGUGCUGUUCGAGGCGAAAACAGGGCAAAUGCGAUGCCAAGAUCCGACUGAACGACGAUGGAGAGGUCGUCCUCGCUAAAACUGAUCAUAAUCAUCCACCUCCGAAGUAUUAUAAAGCACCUAAUGGAUUGUAUACCGCGUGGAAUUGAUAUCAGAUGCUUACGGCAAGCCAAUGAUAGUUUACCAGGGAUAUACCUUUCAUGCAUCCCCAGGGAGGGGUAACCUAAUCUGUUCGAAGCGACGUCGGGGCAAAUGCCCAGCCAAACUGAAGGUCGAAGAUGAUGGAGUGACGAUAAUACAUGCUGACACUAAUCACAAUCACCCGCCCCCGAAAUUUCAUAGAACGACUACUGGGGAAUAUAUCAAGAUAUCAAAUUGAAGAUUUUAUUAGCCUGUAGGCGAGAUUCCGCCAUUGCACGCCAUUGUCGCACACAAAUGUUUCUUCUGGUCUACUCGCUCCAUUAAACUAACAAAUUGUUUUGCAAUUAAGGUUUCACUGACUUGUCCAUUCUAAACAUUUUUAUUUAUUUAGUUUUUCUUUGUCGUGUAUUAUUGACACUGAUACUUGUUAUUACCGACUUUUUAUAUCUUCAAUUUAUGCAGGAUGUUUUGAGUGUAUUUCUGCUGUCACUUGGAUUAGUUAUUUGGAAUUAUUUUUUUAUAUAUACUUAGUAAAACAAUCUUCAUAUGUUUGUAAUAGAUUUUAUUUUAUUACAGCAAAUACAAAUAACAGUUAUUUUAUUUUAAUUUCUUUUUAUACUAAUUAAGUACUAACUUACCUCAAGAAUGCAUACUUAUUUUAAGACAUAUAAAAUAAUACAUAUAUGUUUAUGGUCCACAGAAAGCGCGAGAUUUGUUUAUACAAAAGAACACAGGAAAACGGAUUGGUAUAAAGCAAUUUUGAGGGUUGCGGUCAAUAAAAUAUACAACAAGGAAAUCAGUCUGAGACAAGCUUCGCUUACAUAUGAUAUACCAAAGAGUACGUUAUUCGAUAGACUCCAAAAAUUAAAGAAUAAACACAGAAAAAAUAAUUCUUAGCUCGUUAAUAAAUUAGUUGACUCAAAAAGAAUAGUGACGAAAUGGAUAUCUUUUAUGUGAAAAUUAAGUUUUGUAUUACAUAUAUAUUAAUUAUUUUUUAUGUGAAAAUUUAAAUUAAGUUUGAGCACAAAUUGUUUCGUUAGUGUUCGUAUUAGAGUAAAUCCUUGGUAAAAAAAAAAUGUAUUCGGUUUUUUAUUAAUAAAAAUAUAUUUUUUAAUAAAUAAAUUUUAAGUUAGAAAAUAAAUUACUAUAGAUUGAGGUUGGGGUUGAAAAAAAAAACUGUUCUUUUCAUUGAAUUUAUUGAAUAACUUUAGUGUCUCACUCUUCUGCGUGUGGGUGCGAAAGUCUAUGCUUUAAGCGAAAACUCGAAUUGCAAUCAAGAACAUAUUUUUGUACUUACAUUAAUUAUAUUAAAUAGGUUUAAGUGGGUACCAUAAUGCUGUUGGUUGUACAGUUACUUAAAGUCUAUUGGUGAUGUUUUUGUUAGUUUAAAAAUUAUUUUAAAAACAAUUGCGGAGGAGUUGAUAAAUAGUUCGCGUAUUGUGUUUUCUUUAGAGUUAGUUUAAUCGUUUUGUUUUUUUCUUUAAAUAAAGGAAAUAUACCAAGAUGUUCAUAAAAAGCGUUUUAUUUUUUCUACCACCAAUAUGAUAAAAAAAAUAUGUCUCCUUCAAAAAAAGUAACUAAUGUUCUAUUUUCAGACUACCAAAUACUACCUCUAGCUGGUGGGAAAUCGGUGGUACUUUUUGAAAACUACACUUUUUCAUACCACGUGAGGGGCAGGUCUCGCCUUCAGUGUUCCCAGAAGUUGAGCAAAAAAUGUGGUGCAUUUCUGCGAAUAGAUAGAGCUGGCAACAUUGUUUUUAGUAAUGCUGUCCAUAACCACUAUCCUCCAAGCUGCUUAUUAACUGAUCAAGGGUACUACGUAGUAACUAAAUCCUAUGACUAGAAAAAAAAAUACUUUGAUCGAUUAAAAUUCAAAAUUAAAUACCAAAGAAUUUGUGAUUUUUGAUGACUUUUUUUGGAGUCAUGUUCUUCCAUAAAUUAUGUUUAUUUUUAUCCUACCAAAUAAAUUAUGAACAUAUCUUGUCUUCUUUUGUUUAAUUUUUAUCUCUUGCCACGUAACCACACGCUUUGACUAAAAGAACAUCAAGUUGGUAUAUUUUAUUGAAUAAUGCUUUGAAUUGAUAUUUUUAUAGAUAUCUGCAUGCCUCCCAUACUAAGUUAGGGACUUAUUUGAAUUUUUUGUGAUACAUAUUUUUUUUUGUCUUCUUUCAGCGACUUACCACGUCAUACCCUUAGCUAAGGGCAAAUCGGUGAUCCUUUACAAUAACUACACUUAUUCCUACCACGUUAAAGGCAAGUCUUUACUUCGUUGUUCGCAAAAAAACAGUGAAAAGUGCCGAGCGUUCAUAAAACUAGGUAAGUGUGGUAAUAUUGUGACUGCGGUGACGAACCAUACGCAUCUACCCCCGAGAUGCGAGAAAUGUGUGGACGGGACUUACAGAUUCACGAAGUUGAGGAAGGCUUACGGAUCGUUUUAAAGAAAUCUAAAUAUUUUGUAUAUGUAAUGAAAUAAUAUUUAGAGAAAUAGAGUACAAUAUAGGCUACCCGCUAUAUGGUUAUUUCCUUUCGUCUCAAUCUAUCCAGGAUGUGUGUGAGCGAUAACACCGCCCAUUGUAUCACAUAAACUUUUUUAAAAUAUUUUAGUUUUUUUGUUAUAUCAUUGUAAAGAAUAUAUCUAUUGUCUAUGUAUUUCAGUUUUGAUUACCUUUUAUUGUUUUGUAUUGAAUGAAUAUUUACAUAAAUAAAUGAAUGAGUGUGAAGUGAA
rnacentral:lncRNA from 1 species